rnacentral:rRNA from 1 species
CCUACGGGAGGCAGCAGUAGGGAAUAUUGCUCAAUGGGGGAAACCCUGAAGCAGCAACGCCGCGUGGAGGAUGAAGGGUUUCGGAUUGUAAACUCAUUUUGUUAGAGAAGAUAAUGAGGGUACCUAACGAAUAAGCAGCGGCCAACUCCGUGCCAGCAGCCGCGGUAAUACGGUGGGAGCAAGCGUUACUCGGAAUCACUGGGGGUAAAGAGCGCGUAGGCGGGAUAGCAAGUGAGGUGUUAAAACCUAUGGCUUAACCCUAGAACUGCCUUUGAAACUGUUAUUCUAGAGAAGGGGAGAGGUAGGCGGAAUUCGUGGUGUAGCGGUAAAAUGCAUAGAGAUCAAGAAGAAUACUGAUUGCGAAGGCAGCCUACUGGAGCCGAACUGACGCUGAGGCACGAAAGCGUGGGUAUCGAACAGGAUUAGAUACCCCAGUAGUC